rnacentral:rRNA from 1 species
UACGUAGGGGGCGAGCGUUGUCCGGAGUUACUGGGCGUAAAGCGCACGCAGGCGGUGCUGCACGUUUGGGGUUACAGCUCCCGGCUCAACCGGGAGAGCGCCUCGAAGACGGCAGCACUUGAGGGCCAGAGAGGGACACGGAACUCCGGGUGGAGUGGUGAAAUGCGUAGAUAUCCGGAAGAACACCAAAGGCGAAGGCAGUGUCCUGGCUGGUACCUGACGCUCAGGUGCGAAAGCUAGGGGAGCGAACGGGAUUAGAUACCCUGUAGUCC